UAAAGGUUGAACUUUCUCUCUCUUUCUUAAAAUUCAAAUUCCAGUGGAGGAGUAUAAUUAAAAUAGAAAAAACUGGCCAUGCAUUGUCAGUGUCAGAACAACACUUUUCAAACUGAAGAAAAAAUCAAACUUGGUUUCAAAACUCUCAGACUAAAUUGUUUUUCCUUCUUUUUCUUUUUAUUCACCACAUGUUUUGGUGUGGUUGAAUAUACCUCCCUUUUAACUGAAAAAGUCUCAGUUGCCUGGAUCUAUCCAGCAACAAUCCAAAAUUUUGGUGGAAAUAGAUCUUUCAUGUGGGGUCUUGUGUGGAAGGGGUUAAGGGUUUCACUCCAGUACUUAAUAGGUUUGUCUUUCUCAUAAAGAAGAGAUGAAAUAGUUAAGCCAAGACAAGGUUGCAAGCAGGUUAGAGCUGUAUGUAAAUAAUAAUUAGCCUUUGGGUCCAAGACAUUCAUCCCUUCUGGCCCAGGCCAAGUACGGGAAUCUCACUGCAAGAGAUACUCGUGUUGUUGCUUCCCACGCUGUGACCCUGAACACAGAACAGACUUCAGACCUUGGCACUUUUCAGAUGCACCGAAUAAAAAAAAAAAGCUGUGAAUCGAAGGUGCUUUGUUCCUGGUCCAUGCUUUUUUUGCUUUGAAUUCUUUCCCACGUUUUCUAGCAGAGCCAGUUUUAUAAGUAAGUUAAUCACAAACCAGCCCAGCAACAUUAUGACGAUGCCUUUCCUUUGCAGAUGUCGGGUAGGUCCGGACCAGGCAGCUUGCUGCUGUUCUUGCUGGCAUGAGAAUCAGCUGGUGAAAUAAUAGCCUGGGAUGUUGUUUAUAUUAUGAUAGAGUCUAGGAGCCAGUCACGCACUUGACGACCUGCUGCUGUUGUGCAAGGUGCUGUAUAAACACAGAGAAAAAUCAUGCCUGUUCACCAACAUCUAAAUAAUGCAUCUACUGACUCCUAGCUGCCAUGGGAGGUGCAGGCUGGGAACUGAGGGCAGACUACGAGUGCUGUGAUUCAGUUUGGUGGUCACAAAAGACUUCCCAAGAUCCUUCGUUCCACGUCCAAAAACAAUUGCAUUCACUGGAUGCAGCUACUUGUGUAUUAAGGCACUUUUCCUGAUGUGCAUUUAAUUUGGUACCUCCCAUGUGAGGUACUAAAUAAAUACGCAUUAGGCUGCCUUAAUGUGCAGUAAUGAAUGUGCGUGGUUUUUAAGUGGCAUGUAAUGUGCAGUAGCCUAUUUUUACUGCACGUCAGCAUAAUAGCAUGGUGUUUUACACGAUGCUUUGAUGUCUAGUAAAAUAGGCUACUGCGCAUUAAAGCGCACAUGUAGACAUGCUCACUAUGAGCCCCUCUCAUGCCUACCUAGCUGUUUCAGACCAUUGCCAUGGUAUCGGAGUUCUUGAACUCAGUAUCUGUUGGGCCAAGUAUAGGAAGUAAAUCGAGUAUCUGCUGUUGACCGAGUUCAAGUUAUUCCAGAUUUGCCAGGUGUGACUGAGGUCAGAAACUCAUCUCACAGUGUUUUGAUCAUGAAAUGUGAUGCAAUUUACCUCUCAUUGCCUGAUACUCAUCUAGCCCAGUUCCCUACUGACUUAGCUAUACAGCUAUCCGCAGACUAUUGCACAGCUUUUGUGAAAUACCUGUGAUGGGUCUUAUUCCAGUGGCUCAUAGGCAAGUCCUCAUACCAAAACAGUGGCAGUCAUUAACAUCCUUAGGUGCUGUGUUGUCAUAAACAAGGAGGAAAAUCUGAGGGAUGGAGAUUGAACUGUCAUUUUUUUUCCGUCUGAGGUGGCGCCCCUGGGGAUACUGGCUGUGAACGUGAGGUCUGCCCUUUAAGCCCCUCACUUUGCCUACUUUGUAUAAAUGAACUCUCCUAAAAAGUGACCUUAGGAAGAUAGAAGCUUGUCUCAAAUCAUUUUGACUCCGAGUUCCUUUCAGGCCCCCUUGGUAACGUGUAUAGGAAAUGGCAUUUGAGAAAUAAGGAGUGAUUCGCUGAUCUCAAAGCCAAACAGGCUCAUUAGUCUCUGAUACGAGCUUUUGCAGAACAUGAGUGUAAGCACCUCACCCAGUGACUCCGAGCUAUUGCCUAUAACUUUGUUUUGAUUAACCAGGUCUUUUUCAUACAGAUACCUAGAGUCACUCACCCUCCCGUGUCUUCUGUAUUCCAGUUUCUCUCUCCUUAUACUCUUUCUGAACAUCCUUUCACAGUAUCUGGUGAAGUGAGCUUCAGCUCACAAAAGCUUGUGCUAAUAAUAGAUGGAACUACUUUGGUUAGCCUUAUAAGGUGUAAAUUGACCCUGCUUUUUAUUUGACUUCAGACUAGCAGGGCCAACAAUGGUUCUAUAUAGAUACCUAGUCCACAGUAGAAGAGGGCAAGCAAUAGGGAGCCCACCUUUGUGAAGGCAGGCUGCCAAAGCUGAGACCAAGUGGAACUGGCAUAACUUCAUGCCUCAUGGAGCUGGCUACAUUUUGAAUGCCAGGCUUUGGCAUUCAGAGCAGGGCUCUUGCUAUUAGAUUGUCAAGUCACACUUGGCAUAGCACUAAGGGGUGAUGCAGGGAAGGGUUUGUCUUGCUUUGCUGUCUCUAGGCAGGGAGAAUCUGCUGCUGACUCUGGGCACCUCCUGGACUGUGUCUUUGAAGAAUCUUCUGUUAUUUAAAGGCUGCCAUAUAGUCAGGGUUUUUGUCCAAGGGUAGUGGCACUGGUGUUGUCUGCAGGGCUCUACAAGCUACCAGUCAUGGUGUGACUUGCCCAGGGAGAAAUUACAGCUGUAGAAGAAGCUUUUUGCACUUCACCCAGGGGCUUAUGCUGGAAUGGCCUAAUGUAAGACAUCACAGGCUUCUCAGAGCUGGGGUAAUCCUUGAUUUCACUCUUUGAAUCUAAUCUGCAGCUAUGCCUCCCUGUCUGUCUUGCACUGAGCUUUGCAGCAUGCGCCAAGCUAUGCGGCUUGCUCCCUUGGACUGAGAGCAGAGAAACAGGAGGAACGUGUGGGCUAGAAAUCUCCAUUGCUUAAACCCAGUCAGUGAAAGGCUGAACAGGGGAGUCCUGGCCAGCCAGGAGGGGAGGCUCCUGUGCAGCUGGGUUUUUCAGCCAGUGCUACAAUGAAAAGAGAUGAGAGAAAGUAGCUACAUUUCUCACAACAGCCUCUUUUCUCAGGUGAUAAAAUCUUCCCUUGGUCCUGGGGGAAUUGUGCUCAGUUUGGUAAGUGAAGAGACAGUCUUUUCUAACAAGGUAGAGUGUCCUCUACCCCGUGGGAGUGACUUUUUGUCUAAAACAAAUCGGUAAGGAGCUGUCCCUCUGCCAGCUACAGGAGAGGCCCCUAACAUUAGAAAUGGCAAACUGUAUCAUUGUCAUUCCUACCCUGUCAUCUCACAAGGCAGAGAUGCAUGGUUGUUGUUGGUCAGUGGCCCUUUCUCAAAAAGAAUGAGAUUGGACCUGCACUCCUUGGGCCUUGAUUCAGCAAAGAAUGCAAGUACCUUCUUACCCUCAAGCAUGGGCAAAUUUGUUUCACUUUGCUGGGGGUCCUCAUAGCCACUUGGCUAAGAAUUGUGUGUCCAGAGCACCAAGGCAGCUAUGACUGAAUGAAACGUCUACCCAGCUCUGAAUAUCCUGCCAUUCAUGAUUCAGGGUGAGUUGUCAUUAAGCAUCCUAUGCCCUUGCUACAUCCCCCUUGACUUAAGGCCCCAAUUAAGUUCACCAUCAUUAACAUACAACCUGAGUUCUGGGCCUCAUGGCUGUAACCAUUUCCCUCUCAUCAUCACAGAGCUGAGCUCAUUCAUGGCCAUGACAUAAAGCUGUGUGAUCAGAAGCAAAUUCCCCUCCCCACUAAAGGCUGCCCUACUUUCUCUUUCUGGAUUUUAUCAGCCAAUAACUUGCCUCCAGUCUGAACCACCAGUGAAUGGAGCUGGUGGGCAAUGCACUGGGCUCCAAUUGAACACCAGACAGCUCAUUAGCAUUGAUUGGAUGUGAAGGGCCAUUGAAGCAGAAUCGCACACAUCCCCCACUACCCUGGCCCAGAGCUUUGUUUCUGGUGGAGGUCUGAUGCCUGACAAUGACAAGAGCCUUGGUUUUUAAAUGAGCAGAGGAGCAUAAAAGGGUGGAGUUCUCUUUCCCUGUUGACUCUCAAAGCUGUAUCAGGGCUAGGGAGGAGGAUUGUUCCUGUGGCUUUUCCUUCCAUAGAAAAAAGGAUGGAAAAUUCUUCCCAGAAACAUCAGGUGCAGUUAUUGCCAAGUGGAAAAGAGGUGGCAAUGUUCGUGCUUGAGGUCUCAUGGGUGGCAGGGUGGCAAAAACCUUGUCAGGUGGUCACUUCAGUCAGGGAAGCAGCAGGGAGGUAGGUGGGUUUGGGUUAGUUGAGGGUGGGAAGCGAGGUGUGUGUACGAGGCCUCAGUCUCUGUUCCUCAGCUGCAGUCACAAAGCCAACACACUGGAUGAUCCAAAGUCUGACCUCUGGAUGUGAGCCCCUCUGGGUGAGUAGUAGGCUUUACUGAAUUUGGAAGGCAGGGGAAUGCUCUUAUUUUUGCCUAGUCGACAAAAGGUACACUGAGGCUACAUGAUUUGCCCAAAGCCACAUGGGACAUCUGUGGCAGAGACAGGGACAGACCCUGGUAUCCCUAACCCUGACACAGAAUUGUGUUGGCAUUCCCAUCAAAUUUUUGCUGUGUCAGAUGCCUGCCUCUGUGUCACGCAGGCCAGAGUCUCAAGCCUGUUUCUCACAUGGCUUCUCUGCCCCACUGAAGCCCUGAACAAGAAAAAAGUUAAUGAGAGGAGGGAAGAAUGGUUAGUGCUGUUGUUUCCCAGUGCUGAGGCCACCAGGGGCGGGGGAGCUAGCUGGGCCAUGCCAAUGACCCCAGCUCGUUUAUCUUAGAGCUGGCACCAACACCGCAUACCUCUCCAUUAAUAAAUGCUGUCACAAAGGGCUACGCUAUCUGGUUGUUAAGCAAACCUGGCACUUGCCUGCUACUGAAAUUCCUUGCCUUUGCCCUGCAGGGCUGCCUCCCUUCACUGUACAUCUGAGCCCCGCAGCCAGGAGGGGUAAGUUAUUCAAAGGGAUGUUUGCUAUGUGGGUUCCUGGAGCCGGGCCAGGACACUGAAGUUUCUAGGCCUCAUCCUGCAGCUGUGGGAAGCUGGGCAGAGGAUAGUCGAGGCUUCCUCCCCUUCUCCUCCAGUGGCCUUGAGGCUUUGGGUCCUAAGCAGUCUCCUCUCUGUGAACGGCUGUAUUGUGGUCACUCCAGCCCGUGGAGGGGAGCUGAUCAGCAUAAAGUCUUUGAGGGUCUGUCAUAGCCCCUUGCUCAGCAAAACAGCACAAGCCAGGGCACAGCGUCCCCACUAGGACAACCUGUGUUCAGCCAAGCUGCCCCUGCAGGCACAGGGACUGGGGAGAUCUGUAGGAGACCCGAGGGAAGGGAUUUUUCAGUUCUGAAGCUCCAAACCCACUCAAGUCUUUUCCGCUGCUCUGAUUCUGCCUGCCUUGCCUGGCUUGGGGGUUGUGGGGAGGUUUUGUACCUGACCAGGGGGAGGAUGUUUCCCUUGCAGGUAUCAGAUCCCAUGGUCUCUCAGGAUGAAGAAGCAGAAAGCUCCCCCUUCGUUGAGUUCAGGAGUAUGUGCUUAAGGCAGCAGUGGGGCACCACUGUCAUGCUCAGAGCCCUCACAGUGGGUUUAUACUACAGCAUUGCUCUUGGCACCCCCUUCGCCAUGCAGAUCUGCCCUUUGACUUCAAUCUCCUCCGGCAAAGCCAAGCCCAGAAAACCAGCUUGAGCCUCAUUGCUCAGAGCUGCUGAGCCACUAUUUCAGGUGGCUGCUCUCACUCUGGAGAGGGCUUUCUCCCUCUGCUGUGGCAGAGGCAGGCACACAGAUCCUUGAACCCAGCCGAAGCCACAUGUUUUGUAAAUUGCUGUCACAGUCCCGUGGGAGCUGCAUGCUGGGUAAUCCCUUCAGCCUCAUUCACGAGCUGAAACUGGCAUCUGGCCAUUGGCAAGGAUGCCUGAAACUGUGGCUGGGCAAUCCAAAGGGCAUUAUCUGCUAGCACAGCAGCUGGAACUGGGCAGAGAGCAGGAUCCCCCUGUGCUGGGAGACAGAGACGGUCAUGCCUGGCUUCCAGCUGUCAGCCAGGUCAGCUCAGCCAGGGAGACACAAACCCUGCCCUGUAAUGAAUCCCCUUGAAAGAUGAACCCAGAUGAGUUUCUAAAGUAUCCUGCUGCAGUGAUGGUGGCAAGCAGACCUGUUAUCUCCAGUUCUCCAGGGCCAUGGGCAGAGCAGCCUUGUGAAGCAGGGAAGUCUUUGACUGGCUCCCUUCUGCUGUGGAGGUGGCCAAGCCCAGAGACCCAAGCAACCAGGAGCUGAGAUGCAGGGAAGUAUUGCGUUCUGGGAAAAGAUCUGCUUCUCUUUCAAAAGGGUUCUUUAGACCUAACCAAUCCCUAACACCGGCCACAGAGAAAACAGUCUCUGAAUGUCUUGGUGGAGCAGUGUUUUGAGGGUUGUAGGCUCAGGUGUUCUCUGGUGGACAUGAACAGAGCUCUGGCUCUGCUGCCUUGAUUACAACCACGAAUGGUUGGAACCUCUGUGCCUGUAGCAUCAAGGCAACUGUAAGCAAUCGACAGAGUUAAUGGCAUGCGGUGUCUCACUAGGUGGGCAUGGACAUGAAGGUGGGCAUGGACAUGAAACCUCAGAAGCUGCCAUAUGGGGGUGCUUGAUGAUGGAUUGUGAAGCAUUUCCCUGAGGCUGCUGGAGAGUGACCAGUAGUCAUUCUCGCUGGUUCCUAGUAGACAUCACCUCACCUCUGUUUCAAAAGGACCAUGAUAGCUGGCAGCUUCAAAGGGAAGCCAAGGAGCAAAUGAGCCAGAAGACUGAAAGCAUUCCCCCAGAGACACAAGUGUAAGCUGGUGUCCUACAGACUGUCCUUUGUCCUAGCCAUGGAGAGCAAAGACUCUGGGGAAACUUUGAGGUCUUUAAAUCCCUUAUUGAGGGGAUCUGGGACAGAAAGUAAAAGCCACCUUGCCCCCUGGGGACGGGGAAUAGGGCAGUGAGAAGUUUCCACAGAAGGCCUGAUGACUGGUAAGACAGAGGCAGCAUUAACUCCCUACUUUGAGUGCUUAACCCAGAGAUCACAGAGAUGUCAAGGGAUCUGUCCUCCUGACUGACCUUCUCUAUAUUAGUUAGUCACUGGUAUCUGAGAGAGGAGCCUCAGGGUGAAAGAGCCUGAGGAUGCUCCGGGUUGCUGCUGCCACUGCCUGGUGCUUUCAAGGAGAAAAUGGAGAGUGGGUUCAUUCUGAAUGAGUCAUGCAUGGGUUUUGCUCGUGGCAACUGUGUGUGAAUGAGGUGUAUGCCACAGGGCUGGUUAGGACAGGUGAGAGCAUUUGGCUGGAUGAGGAGCUGGCAUGUGAAGAAUGUGCCUGGUACAGAAAGGAAAGCAAGCAAAGGAGGCUUUGAAUGGGGAAAGAUCGUGCAGGGGGAGUAGCUGCAGUUCCUGGGAUAUUAGCUCACUUAGAUUUGAGAUUCUGUCUUCUUUCACUUUCAGCAAAAACACUGCUAAGACCCAUCUGCCUCCCCCUGAAAUGGAUUUAAGUUCAUUAGAGCAGCAGACUGGACAGUAGAGGUGGCUGCGUUUUGUUCCUGACAUUGACACUUGCCAUGUGACCUCAGGUUCUCAUAAAUUUACCCAUCAUAGGGUUGUGCUCUGAAUACCUUUGUCAUAUUUAAUCACAGAGGUGAUUAAAUAUCAUAUGGAUAUAAUAAUGAUGCUGAAUUUCAGCCGUUUUUGGAUUUUAAACUUCACUGCAGAACUACAAGGAAGUUUUUUUACCUCCCUGCCUCCCAUCUGACAUCUUCAGGGAAGGAAUUCUACCUGAUCACUUCAUCAAAGAGCUACUCAACACAGCUCACAAAGACACUCUCGUGGACCCAGAGGGACAGACUUCCAUCUUCAGCUCUCUCCGUGCAAAAAUGAAGUUUAUUUCCUACCUAUGGGGACUUUUUACCAUCUUGUACCAUCUACACUUUUCCCAGAGCCUGACGAAGGGACUUUGAUCCCAAAAGCUUGCAGAAAAGGACAGUUUUCUUGCCAUUUUCCAGUUGGUCUAAUAAAAGGAGUGUAGGUUGUUAAGACCCUAUUCUUAAAAAGAUCUUCCCAGAGCCACCCAUCCUAGCCUUCAAACAAGCACCGAGCCUCGCUAACCUCAUCACCAGAAGCAAAAUUCCUCAAGCCCAGAACACACCAAAAAGAUCCAGACCGUGCCAGGACAAGAAAUGCAAAACCUGCCAACACAUCUCCACCACCCCCACUAUUACUACACCCCACAACAGAGCCAUCGGCAUCCCUGGAUCUUACAGCUGCACCUCCAGGAAUGUAGUAUACCUCAUCCAAUGGACCAAACGCCCUGAUGGAAGAUAUGUAAGAGAGACCAGACAACAACUGCGCACCUGAAUGAACGCACACCGGAAAUCUAUCAAAGACAGAAACACCCAAUUACCGGUGGGGGCACAUUUCUCACAAGAAAACCACUCUCUCUCCAAUCUCUCAGUCUUGAUCCUCAAAGGAAACCUAUGCAACACUUCCCAGAGACGCGCCUAUGAACUCCACUUCAUCAACCUCCUGGAUACUAAAAAUCAUGGACUAAAUAUAGACAUUGGAUUUAUGACACGUUAUAACCUGCCUGACAUCUGACUCCCCAGGCAUCUCUUCACUUUCAUCCCCCUUCUCUCCCCCCUCCCCGCUGUCUCACCCAUUGACUCCUCAGUCUACAUUUUCCCUGACUACCUGUCUUGUAUGCAGCCCAGCCCAGCCCCUGGCUUCUUUACUUGUCAUUUCAUCCAGGAAGAGCACACACCAACUGCUGAAACUUCCUUAGCCUGACGAAGGGUUUUUGAACCCAAAAGCUUGCUUAAUAAUUGUUUUCCAACUAUUUGGGUUAGUCUAAUAAAAGAUACUAGAUUCACCCAAGGAACCUUGUCUCCUUUCCAAUAUGUAAUUGGAAUGGUGGUUAGCUUUUGGAUAAAGGGCCUGCUUUUUUCCAUAGCCUGUGGAUCCAUGACUCUAAGCUGACUGAGAAGUUACCCCAUAAAAUGCAUUUGAAAGCAAAGAGUAAGGAUUUAAAUAAAUCCGUCUACCCAUCA